AUUACGUCGAAAUAGCUCGAGCUGUAACCUAGGGUAAAUAAUAAUUCCUUUUCGUAUUCAUCAAGGUGCUUCUAAGUGCCAGUGCCAGGAGUCUUGCUCUGUUGCCCAGGCUUGAGUGCAGUGGCACGAUCUUGGCUCACUGCAACCUCCACCUCCCGAGUUCAAGCGAUUCUCCUGCCUCACCCUCCUGAGUAGCUGGGACUACAGGCCUGCGCCACCACACCUGGCUAACUUCUGAAUAUCAAGCUGAAAUUACUAUCAGAUAUCUUGCCACCACAUAGAGGCUUUGAGUGAAGUCUGCAUGGAGGAGAACAGAGCUGAGAGAUGGAAAGAUACUGAAUCCCAGUGACGUCCUUUGAGAUGUCGGAUCAAGCUGAGCUGGGCAUGAAGAUAGAGCUACUCCUAUACUUUUAAGAUACCAAUAACAAGCAAGAUUCAGAAGUCCAACAAGUAAGACAUUGAUUUCAUUAAGAGAGAACUAGUAAGCAAGCUAUUUGGGAAGUACACUCUCAUAAGAAUAUUGUUUCAUGAAGUCUUGAGCAACAAAGGAAAUAGUAAGUAAG
rnacentral:lncRNA from 1 species